rnacentral:rRNA from 1 species
CGUAGCGAAAGUUACGCUAAUACCGCAUACGAUCUAUGGAUGAAAGCGGGGGAUCGCAAGACCUCGCGCGAUUGGAGCGGCCGAUAUCAGAUUAGGUAGUUGGUGGGGUAAAGGCUCACCAAGCCAACGAUCUGUAGCUGGUCUGAGAGGACGACCAGCCACACUGGAACUGAGACACGGUCCAGACUCCUACGGGAGGCAGCAGUGGGGAAUUUUGGACAAUGGACGCAAGUCUGAUCCAGCCAUUCCGCGUGCAGGAUGAAGGCCCUCGGGUUGUAAACUGCUUUUGUACGGAACGAAAAGGUCCUGGUUAAUACCCGGAGCUCAUGACGGUACCGUAAGAAUAAGCACCGGCUAACUACGUGCCAGCAGCCGCGGUAAUACGUAGGGUGCAAGCGUUAAUCGGAAUUACUGGGCGUAAAGCGUGCGCAGGCGGUUAUGUAAGACAGAGGUGAAAUCCCCGGGCUCAACCUGGGAACUGCAUUUGUGACUGUAUAGCUAGAGUGCGGCAGAGGGGGAUGGAAUUCUGCGUGUAGCAGUGAAAUGCGUAGAUAUGCGGAGGAACACCGAUGGCGAAGGCAAUCCCCUGGACCUGUACUGACGCUCAUGCACGAAAGCGUGGGGAGCAAACAGGAUUAGAUACCCUGGUAGUCCACGCCCUAAACGAUGUCAACUGG